AGGUAAGCUACUAAGAGCGAAUGGUGGAUGCCUUGACUGGUAAAGGCGAUGAAGGACGUACUAGACUGCGAUAAGCUACGGGGAGCUGUCAAGAAGCUUUGAUCCGUAGAUUUCCGAAUGGGGCAACCCAAUGUAUAGAGAUAUACAUUACCUAUAUAGGAGCGAACGAGGGGAAUUGAAACAUCUUAGUACCCUCAGGAAAAGAAAUCAAUAGAGAUUGCGUCAGUAGCGGCGAGCGAAAGCGCAAGAGGGCAAACCCAGUGCUUGCACUGGGGGUUGUAGGACUGUAAUGUGCAAGAGGUAAGUUUAGCAGAACAUUCUGGAAAGUAUAACCAUAGAGGGUGAUAGUCCCGUAUGCGAAAAACAAACCUUAGCUAGCAGUAUCCUGAGUAGGGCGGGACACGAGGAAUCCUGUCUGAAUCCGGGUCGACCACGAUCCAACCCUAAAUACUAAUACCAGAUCGAUAGUGCACAAGUACCGUGAGGGAAAGGUGAAAAGAACUGAGGUGAUCAGAGUGAAAUAGAACCUGAAACCAUUUGCUUACAAUCAUUCAGAGCCUUAUGUAGCAAUACAGGGUGAUGGACUGCCUUUUGCAUAAUGAGCCUGCGAGUUGUGGUGUCUGGCAAGGUUAAGCAAACGCGAAGCCGUAGCGAAAGCGAGUCUGAAUAGGGCGCUUAGUCAGAUGCUGCAGACCCGAAACGAAGUGAUCUAUCCAUGAGCAAGUUGAAGCUAGUGUAAGAACUAGUGGAGGACUGAACCCAUAGGCGUUGAAAAGCCCCGGGAUGACUUGUGGAUAGGGGUGAAAGGCCAAUCAAACUUCGUGAUAGCUGGUUCUCUCCGAAAUAUAUUUAGGUAUAGCGUUGUGUCGUAAUAUAAGGGGGUAGAGCACUGAAUGGGCUAGGGCAUACACCAAUGUACCAAACCCUAUCAAACUCCGAAUACCUUAUAUGUAAUCACAGCAGUCAGGCGGCGAGUGAUAAAAUCCGUCGUCAAGAGGGAAACAACCCAGACUACCAGCUAAGGUCCCUAAAUCUUACUUAAGUGGAAAACGAUGUGAAGUUACUUAAACAACCAGGAGGUUGGCUUAGAAGCAGCCAUCCUUUAAAGAAAGCGUAAUAGCUCACUGGUCUAGUGAUUUUGCGCGGAAAAUAUAACGGGGCUAAAGUAAGUACCGAAGCUGUAGACUUAGUUUACUAAGUGGUAGGAGAGCGUUCUAUUUGCGUCGAAGGUAUACCGGUAAGGAGUGCUGGAGCGAAUAGAAGUGAGCAUGCAGGCAUGAGUAGCGAUAAUUAAUGUGAGAAUCAUUAACGCCGUAAACCCAAGGUUUCCUACGCGAUGCUCGUCAUCGUAGGGUUAGUCGGGUCCUAAGUCGAGUCCGAAAGGGGUAGACGAUGGCAAAUUGGUUAAUAUUCCAAUACCAACAUUAGUGUGCGAUGGAAGGACGCUUAGGGCUAAGGGGGCUAGCGGAUGGAAGUGCUAGUCUAAGGUCGUAGGAGGUUAUACAGGCAAAUCCGUAUAACAAUACUCCGAGAACUGAAAGGCUUUUUGAAGUCUUCGGAUGGAUAGAAGAACCCCUGAUGCCGUCGAGCCAAGAAAAGUUUCUAAGUUUAGCUAAUGUUGCCCGUACCGUAAACCGACACAGGUGGGUGGGAUGAGUAUUCUAAGGCGCGUGGAAGAACUCUCUUUAAGGAACUCUGCAAAAUAGCACCGUA
rnacentral:rRNA from 1 species